rnacentral:rRNA from 1 species
AUACGGAGGAUCCGAGCGUUAUCCGGAUUUAUUGGGUUUAAAGGGUGCGCAGGCGGCCAUUUAAGUCAGCGGUUAAAUCGUGGGGCUCAACCCCAUUCUGCCGUUGAUACUGGGUGGCUUGAUUGCGGUCGAGGUUGGCGGAAUUCGUUGUGCAGCGGUGAAAUGCAUAGAUAUGACGAAGAACACCGAUUGCGUAGGCAGCUGACCAGACCGCAAAUGACGCUCAUGCACGAAAGUGCGGGGAUCGAACAGGAUUAGAUACCCUGGUAGUCCGCACAGUAAACGAUGAAUACUUGUUUUCGGCGAUAUAAUGUCGGAGGCAAAGCGAAAGCGAUAAGUAUUCCACCUGGGGAGUACGCCGGCAACGGUGAAACUCAAAUGAAUUGACGGGG